UGCGUAGGCGGUCUUAUAAGUCUGGUGUGAAAUCUCCCGGCUCAACUGGGAGGGUGCGCCGGAUACUGUGAGGCUAGAGUGUGGGAGAGGAAAGUGGAAUUCCUGGUGUAGCGGUGAAAUGCGUAGAUAUCAGGAGGAACACCGGUGGUGUAAACGGCUUUCUGGACCAUUACUGACGCUGAUGCACGAAAGCGUGGGUAGCAAACAGGAUUAGAUACCCUGGUAGUCCACGCCCUAAACGAUGUAUAUUUGGUGUGGGCCAUUCAGUUGGUCCGUGCCGGAGCUAACGCGUUAAAUAUGCCGCCUGGGGAGUACAGUCGCAAGGCUGAA
rnacentral:rRNA from 1 species